rnacentral:rRNA from 1 species
AUUGAACGCCGGCGGCAGGCUUAACACAUGCAAGUCGAGCGGGGGAAGGUAGCUUGCUACCGGACCUAGCGGCGGACGGGUGAGUAAUGCUUAGGAAUCUGCCUAUUAGUGGGGGACAACAUCUCGAAAGGGAUGCUAAUACCGCAUACGUCCUAGGGGAGAAAGCAGGGGAUCCUCGGACCUUGCGCUAAUAGAUGAGCCUAAGUCGGAUUAGCUAGUUGGUGGGGUAAGGGCCUACCAAGGCGACGAUCUGUAGCGGGUCUGAGAGGAUGAUCCGCCACACUGGGACUGAGACACGGCCCAGACUCCUACGGGAGGCAGCAGUGGGGAAUAUUGGACAAUGGGGGGAACCCUGAUCCAGCCAUGCCGCGUGUGUGAAGAAGGCCUUAUGGUUGUAAAGCACUUUAAGCGAGGAGGAGGCUACUCUAGUUAAUACCUAGGGAUAGUGGACGUUACUCGCAGAAUAAGCACCGGCUAACUCUGUGCCAGCCGCCGCAGUAA